rnacentral:misc_RNA from 1 species
GUGAAUCAUCAAAUUUUUGAACGCAAAUUGCACUCUCUGGUAUUCCGGAGAGUAUGCCUGUUUGAGGGUCAGUAUAAAUAAAAAUCGGCGGGGUUGAUGCAUUUCGUGGUGAAGCAGGGAAUUAGGGUCGGGUCGCCUUCGGUUAAGUGACGUAAAAUGUUGCAUGAUGUUUGUCGAACGUAUUUAAAUGAUUUUGCGUACGGUAG